rnacentral:rRNA from 1 species
GCAUGUUCACAUGAUUAAAGGUAUUCCGGUAGACGAUGGGGAUGCGUUCCAUUAGAUAGUAGGCGGGGUAACGGCCCACCUAGUCUUCGAUGGAUAGGGGUUCUGAGAGGAAGGUCCCCCACAUUGGAACUGAGACACGGUCCAAACUCCUACGGGAGGCAGCAGUGAGGAAUAUUGGUCAAUGGGCGAGAGCCUGAACCAGCCAAGUAGCGUGAAGGAUGACUGCCCUAUGGGUUGUAAACUUCUUUUAUAAGGGAAUAAAGUCGGGUAUGCAUACCCGUUUGCAUGUACUUUAUGAAUAAGGAUCGGCUAACUCCGUGCCAGCAGCCGCGGUAAUACGGAGGAUCCGAGCGUUAUCCGGAUUUAUUGGGUUUAAAGGGAGCGUAGAUGGAUGUUUAAGUCAGUUGUGAAAGUUUGCGGCUCAACCGUAAAAUUGCAGUUGAUACUGGAUAUCUUGAGUGCAGUUGAGGCAGGCGGAAUUCGUGGUGUAGCGGUGAAAUGCUUAGAUAUCACGAAGAACUCCGAUUGCGAAGGCAGCCUGCUAAGCUGCAACUGACAUUGAGGCUCGAAAGUGUGGGUAUCAAACAGGAUUAGAUACCCUGGUAGUCCACACGGUAAACGAUGAAUACUCGCUGUUUGCGAUAUACAGCAAGCGGCC